rnacentral:rRNA from 1 species
CGGACGUGGGGGAACCUGACCGCCUGCCGCGUGAGUGAUGAAGGCCUUCGGGUUGUAAAGCUCUUUUGUGUGGGAAGAUAAUGACUGUACCACAAGAAUAAGCCCCGGCUAACUUCGUGCCAGCAGCCGCGGUAAUACGAAGGGGGCUAGCGUUGUUCGGAAUUACUGGGCGUAAAGGGUGCGUAGGUGGUUAUGUAAGUCAGAAGUGAAAGCCCUGGGCUCAACCCGGGAAUUGCUUUUGAAACUAUGUAGCUAGAGUUCGAGAGAGGUAAGUGGAAUAUCCAGUGUAGAGGUAAAAUUCGUAGAUAUUGGAUGGAACACCAGUGGCGAAGGCGGCUUACUGGCUCGAUACUGACACUGAGGCACGAAA